UCUAAUCCUGAUGACUCGUCGGCAGUACGAGUUCUCUUUGACUGACCACGUCGUCCUCGACCACCACCACGACCACGACCACGACCGGCAGCCAUAACCACCAGAAGAAGGAUCACGAGCGAAAACGCCAUUUUCCUAUAUGAAAAUGAACCAUUCAUGAAGAAAAUUUUGAAAAAAAAAAGAAAAAAAAAUCUGUAAAAAUAGCGAAAAAAAAAUUUCUAAUAAUAUUAGAAUGCAUACAAAUACUAUUUCUAACCAGAUCAUGAAAAAAAAUUUCAUUAAAAAUGACAUUUUACAAAAAAUCCCGAAAUUACAUGAAAAAUAAAGCUUAGAACAUGGAUCAGCGAAAAAUAACAUGAUUUGAUGUGAUUCAAGUGUUCUAGAAGCAAGAUAAUGUCAUUAAGUACUGAUCUACAGCAAAAAAUUGCAUAAAAAACGAUCAAAAACAAAGAUCUAUGCAGGAACACGAAAUUUUUCGAAAAAUAAACAUGAACGCGAUGAAACGAUUAAAUCCAAGCGAAAUACUCACAGAUUUUUGGGGAAAACGUGUAGAUCUGGAAGAGGAAGGCACCAGAAAAUUUUAGAGAGAGAAAGAUCGAAAUUUGGUUUGGAUUAGAGUGAGAAAGAAAUCUCUGUAACCGGUUAUAUUUCCGCGGCUACAGUGACUUGUACCGGUACACGGGAUUUUGUACCAGUACACUUUGCCAGAUUUCGAAAAUAUGAUUUUAA
rnacentral:lncRNA from 1 species